GCCGGGUGUGGUGGCUCACGCCUGUAAUCCCAGCACUUUGGGAGGCUGAGGUGGGAGGAUCGCUUGAGCCCAGGAGUUAUGUUAUCAGCCUUGGCAACAUAGUGAGACCCCAUCUCUA
ensembl:misc_RNA Metazoa_SRP Metazoan signal recognition particle RNA